GUCUUUUGGGGGCUUGCCCCCAUAAAGACGAGCGGCGGACGGGUGAGUAACACGUGGGCAACCUGCCCAUCAGACCGGGAUAACCACGGGAAACCGUGGCUAAUACCGGAUAAUCCUUUGCCACGCAGGUGGCAGAGUUGAAAGGCGGCUUCGGCUGUCACUGAUGGAUGGGCCUGCGGCGCAUUAGCUGGUUGGUGGGGUAACGGCCCACCAAGGCGACGAUGCGUAGCCGACCUGAGAGGGUGAUCGGCCACACUGGGACUGAGACACGGCCCAGACUCCUACGGGAGGCAGCAGUAGGGAAUCUUCCGCAAUGGACGCAAGUCUGACGGAGCAACGCCGCGUGAGUGAUGAAGGGUUUCGGCUCGUAAAACUCUGUUGUUAAGGAAGAACGUCCCCGUGAGUAACUGCACGGGGAGUGACGGUACUUAACCAGAAAGCCACGGCUAACUACGUGCCAGCAGCCGCGGUAAUACGUAGGUGGCAAGCGUUAUCCGGAAUUAUUGGGCGUAAAGCGCGCGUAGGCGGUUUCUUAAGUCUGAUGUGAAAGCCCCCGGCUCAACCGGGGAGGGUCAUUGGAAACUGGGGAACUUGAGUGCAGAAGAGGAGAGUGGAAUUCCAUGUGUAGCGGUGAAAUGCGCAGAGAUAUGGAGGAACACCAGUGGCGAAGGCGGCUCUCUGGUCUGCAACUGACGCUGAUG
rnacentral:rRNA from 1 species